GGCAGUCGAGCAGUCGAGGCUAGGCAAGUUCUGAGGAAAUGCAGUCCCUCCCCUUUCCUCUUUUUCCACCCCCUAGCUAUAUACAGCUCUAGAUGCAGACCUAGACCUCUGCAAAACAAUAAAGCGGAAGAAAUUUGGGUCUGCCCAUGUGCUCUUACUGCACUGCGUCCUCCCCUCAUCUCCUUUCUGAUCUUUAUGUUUUUCUGUCUCUCUUUGUUUCCCCCGUCAACACAUACACGCGGUGCGAAAGAUACCAGCCACAGCAUCUUAAGACUUAAAGGUUAUCCAACCCCAUCCUCCCACUGCUGCUUCAACAAUGUGCUUAACGCGUAGUGCUGCAAUCACUGCUUAGCUAUCAGAUAUAUUUUAAAGAACUCAAGAGGAGAAGACAAGGCUAUUAUAUUUACCAAGGCACAUCCCAAUGCCAUCCCUCCUAGCCAAUGAUUGGCUAUCCUGAAAAUUCUAAUUCUUUAAUACCUCUCAGCUCUGAACACUGAACCAAACUCCAACUGAAUUAGGAAGAAAUAGAAAAUUUGAACAUACUGAUUACUAGUAAUGAAAUUGAAUUAGUAAUAAAAAAAUUCACAACAAAGAAAACUCCAGGACCAAGUGGCUUCACAGGUAAAUUUUAUCAAAUAUUUGAAGAAGAGUAAACACUCAUUCUUCUCAGUUAUUCCAAAAAUAGAAGAGGAACUAAGAUUUCCAAAUUCAUUUCACAAGGCAAGCAUUACCUUGAUACCCAAACUAAACAAAACAUUACCAAAAAAGAAAAUUACUGGCCAAUAUCUUUCAUGAACAUAGAUGAAAUAACCAUUAGCAAACCAAAUUCAACAACACAUUAAAAGAAACACUGACCAGGAUCAAGUGGAUUUUAUACCAGAGAUGAAAUAAUCGGCAUGAUACAUUGCAUUAACAAAAUGAAAGAUAAAAAAUAUGAUCAUCCAAGAGAUGCAGACAUAGCAUUUGACCAAAUACAACAUCCUUUCAUGGUAAAAACUCUCAACAAAAUGGGUUUAGAGGUAACAUACGUUAAUCAAUGUCAUAUAUGAGAAACCCACAGCUAACAUCAUACUCAAUGAUGAAAAACUGACAGCUUUUCCUCUAAUAUCAGGAAUAAUACAAGGAUGUCCACUCUCACCACUUUUAUUUAACAUUAAACUGGAAGUCCUAGCUGCAACAAUCAGACAAGGAAAAGAAAUAAAAGUCACCAAAUUGGUAAGGAAAAAGUAAAAUUUUACUAUUUGAAGAUGACAUGAUUAUUUGUAUAGAAAACCAUAACAACUUGACCAAAAAACUACUAGAACUGAUUAAUGAAUUCAGUAAGGUCACAGAAUACAAAAUCAUUCUACAGAAAUUUGUUGCAUUUCUAUACACUAAUAAUGAAGCAACAGAAAGAUAAAUUAAGAAAGCAGUCAUGGUACAGAAGAAGCCCACGGAAGAGGGUAGGAAGAGUGGAGAGGCGGUGUGUGCUACACGGACUGGCAGGAGGGAGCCGGGCAGUGGAGGGGCAGCCCACCGGGCAAGGCAGACCCCCCGAAGUCUGGGGCUAAGCCCCAGACCUUAGCCUCUACUACAAAGCUGUAAUCAUCAAGACAGCAUCGUAUUGGCACAAAAACAGACACACAGACCAAUGGAAUAGAAUAGAGACUCCAGAAUUGGACCCACAAAA